AACCGGACACUACCGGAGGCAGCAGUGGGGAAUAUUGGACAAUGGGCGAAAGCCUGAUCCAGCCAUGCCGCGUGUGUGAAGAAGGUCUUCGGAUUGUAAAGCACUUUAAGUUGGGAGGAAGGGCAGUUACCUAAUACGUUAGUUGAUUUGAAGUUACGACAGGAUAAGCAGCGCUUC
rnacentral:rRNA from 1 species